GUUCCGCUGCUGCAGGAAGGCGGCGGCGGCGGCGGCCGCCUGGUGUUGGUGCUGGAGCUGCGGGCUCACCGGGGACCUCCGGUUCUGCUGCUGUUGCUGCUGCUGAGGAGAGCACUUUAUUGAGCCUCACACUGUUAUGGGGUUCUACUGCUGUUCAUCUUCCUUGUCCUGCAUACUUCUAGUAGAUCUACGGGUCAAUCAGAACUACAUGCAGUGCUUUGGAUGUGGGUGCAGUCGGGGUUUGUAUGGUGGUGCAGUAGUUUGUCUUUUGCCUUUUCUUUCUCCUGUCUAUAAUGGUUGCAACAUUUUGUUUGCAUUUUCUGUCUGCCGGAGAGCGCUGGACAGAUGUUUGCAAAGAGGUCUUAACAAGUAGUCCAAGAUUCUUCCUGGAGUGAUUAUUUAUAAUUUAUCACAGUGUAUGUGCAAUUGUGUGUUUUUCUCCCCCAAGUGUAUUUAUGUGUGUCUAUCGAUAAUAAAUGAUGCGUGGUUUUAUGUUGCUGAAUCACUCGGCAUUCAGUAUGACAAUGCCUUUUGAAGUAUUGACUGUUGUAAGCGAUUUCUAUCAUCAGCAGACUUAGCCAACUCAUUAUUAAUCCCCUUUUACAGAUCAUCUGUGAAUGUACUGAAGAAAACAAGUUCAAGUGCGGAUCCCUGAUCUCUGGUCUCCCAUGGUGAAAACAAUUUAUUACUGCGCUUCAACAAAUCAUUAAUCUACUAAAUAAUUUUCAUCCUUAUGAUAACUCAGUUUCUUUAAGAGCCUUUAGAGAGAGAUCUUGUCAAAACACUUUGACUUCUGGAAAUCCGAGAACAUUACAGCAAUCCGCAUUCACCAACAUGCAGACUUCUUUCAAGAAUGGUAACAUCGUCAAGUUCAUCAACUCACGUCAGGCUGUAAAACGUACAUUUAGUCAGGUUUCUUCUGCAGAUAUGACGUUAUUUGUGUACCAAAAAUAGUGGCGAGCACUUUCAUUACUUGUACAGAGGCUUCUAGCAGUUAGUGACAGUUUCUAAGUGAACUUAUUGCUAUGCUGCCAGAAACUCCAGAGCGAGGUACAGAUUUCCAUUGACCCUGAAUGCAGCAUGGUUUCUUUGUGAUAGAAGUCUUCUAUUUAUUUUCCAUAAAUGACAUAUCCCUGAAGCAACAGUGAGGGAAUGAAAGUUACAUUUUAUCACUGUAACAUUUGCAGAAAAGUGAACUGCUAAACUCCCUAUUCAUAAUGAAACUUUGAGUAGCCAUGAGUUCUUAAAAAGCUUACCUGCAGGUGCAUAGCUUUUUUUUUUUUUCCUUUAAAAAUUUAUAUCUGAGCCUUAUGAACUUCUGAUUAAACUUUUAAAAUAAAUUAAGGGUGAGAGGAUUAGACAGGGAAUUGGAAAUGAACUGUGGUAUCUUUUGCCUCUAGCUCAGCAUUUUGAAGGCAGCCCAAAUGAGAUGUGACAAAGUGCAGCGCUCUCGUUUCUUUCUGCUGACCUAUGUGUAAGUGGAGUUUGGUCUCUGCCAAGUUCUUUGUGUGAACAGCCACGUCACCGUCACUGCUGGUAUAAUUAGCAGUAAUUAGCCCUUUGUUGGAAUUUAAAAUAAAUAGGCCAUGAUUUGGAUAUCAAAGCGACUGAAUUAUCCACUUAGACCAUCCCCUCUGUGGGUGAACAGCCUGCUGCUCCCAGCCCUCCCUUUCCCACAAAGUGACAGAAGUUAUGAAGAGCUGAUUUAAAUGGUGGAUAUGUCCAGCCAGUGUUUUGCAGAAUGCCAUGUCCUGUUUGAAACAUGAACUGUAAAAUCCCGCACGACCGUCCCUGAGUGAGACAAAUAAAGCUACGUUUUAAUCUGUUAAGGGCUGUAGUAGCUAUUGGGCAUUUCCUUCCUGCCCUCGAUGGAGGUGUGAAGAGUUCCAGAGGAAGCACUCACCAGCGGAUGUUCAGAGGUUCCUGCUGCCUCAGCUGCCAUCUGAACUUCCUAUUGCUCUUUCUCAGGAGAAAUUAUUUCAUUAAUCUAGGUUAGCCAUAUAUGAGCAUGUCUCUGUUUCUUACCUUGUUUCUGCUGCCUGUCCCUCUGUCCCACUGCCAGAGACUAUUUUCAUACCUGUAGGUCUGACUCCCUAGGCGUUUCUCCUGGACUUUGUACACCACUGGCUGUCCUAAGAGAGGAAAGAAAAGUGUACUUUUCCAAGGGAGCACUGGAUGCAGCUUUUUUUUUGCAUAUGUGCCAUCCAUGGACUCUCUGGUUAUCUCCUGAUCCUUUUCUCUUUGCUUGACUCUGAAAGCCCAGCUGAUUCUUCUGUUCUCCCCAAAGCACCUAUGGAUAUUUCUGUAGCUUAGUUGCCUCUGUCCAAAGUUUUUCUUUGUUUUUUUUUUUUUUUUUUUUUUUUUUUUUUUUUUUUUGAGAAAAAGAGAAAGUCGUAGCACCUGAAAGUGUGCCAGUUUCCCAACCACUGAUUGCCAGUCAUUGGCUGGGUCAAUAGAGACUGGGGUGGGAAAGUCUGGUCUUGCUGCAGGUCAGAGCAGGGCACAUGAGAUUUCUGAUCUGAGUGUGCUGGCACAGAAAUCUGUCAGUGCUCUUCUGGGGUGGUGGUCAUUGUCCUAACAGCAUCUGCAUUAUGAUAAUGGGAAAAAAAAGUUAAUACUCGUUUCGCUGGUGUAUUUCAGAAUGAAUUACUGUUGGCAUUCGAGCCGACUGCAUGCAAUAGAAAACUGCACUGCUUUAAAAAUCCUAUGUGUAACGCCAGUAGUGUAAGGGUAUCCAAUCUUCAAAUACAGACAUAUGGUUUCAGAGAACAAAAACGCUAGGUGUUGAUCUGGAAGUAAAGAGAAGCAGUGUGAAUCUGCUUUUCCCAUAUUUUCAGCCAAUGGCUGGCUAUUUUAAACCUUUAAUUUAAACAAAUAUUUGGAUUUAGUUUCUGAAAAAGCAAAAACCUGCCAGCUAUUUCAAUGAAGGCAGCAACUUAAGCUAUCAAUACAUCAUUCCUGAAACAAGCAUAAUUUCAGCAAUCAAGUAGGAGUUAUUUCUUGUUUCCCACAUUAGGUCAGCACUUUCAUAUAGAGAGAGUUCAUAUCAUAAUGAUGUGCUCUGUGCAGGUGACUCAUCUGCACCUUUUGGAGUUCAGACAAAGUGUCUGUGUUAGCUCUCUUUCCUUUACUACCUUCCACGUGUUUCUGGAUUCAUAACAGAAUGAUUCCUUCUGUUACAUAAGACUGAAAUGGCUUCUCAUUUUCAUUUUCUUUAUAGAUAAAGAGGCUUAUAAAUGUAUUGAGUUACAACUGAGGAAGCUAGAAUACAUGCUACUUGAAAACCACCAUAGAUUGUUCCCAAAUGAUCUUGCUUAAUUAAAAAUUGUUUUUGCUUUGUGGUGGUCCAACUAUUUUGACGAUUAUUUGUGCUACAGUGCAAAAGUGGAAAUAUAAUCACACAGGGCUGAAGAUGUCUAAUAAUGAAGUAUUUAUAUAGAGUUCUGUAUAUGCCAGCAUGGCUAUGUGAAUGCAAUACACAAAGCCAGAUGUACCAUUUUAACUGCACAAGAAUAUAUACAAGUAUGUUUAAAAUGGGUAGUGUGACAUUUAUGUGUAUGUGUGUAGGUCUCACUGAAAGUAGUGCCUCCUACUUGUUUCCAUGGAAGAAACAACUGAUACAAAGAGCUCAAUAACAGUAUUUGAUUGAGCAAGCCUUCAGCUACAAAACACUGUUUUUCAACAUUGUCACCACCAUUAGCUGUGCAUUUUCACCAGGGAUGAAUAAGAGCCUGUGUGCCAUGCUCGUAAGAAUCUGUACCAGCAGAGAUGACCCACUGUUUCACAGCUGCUAUGAUGGCAUUGUUGCUAGAAAAUGUUGCCCAUGCAGUCCAUCUUUCAUUGGCCCAGACAGAUGGAAGUCAGAAAGUACCAAACCUGAUAGUAGGGGGAUGUGGUAGGACAGUUCAGCCAAGGUACAGUAGUGUACAGUACAGUACAAUACAGUAAGACCUUUGGUGACUGCAACUGGAUUGUUUCCAUUUGAAAUGUUUUCAGAUGCGCUUUUCCCAUUAUCCUUACAAUUUCAUCUGUGUGCUUGUUUCAAGAAAAUUAUAUGAUUUUUUGGUUUGAGACAAUUUUAUCUUCAUAAUCUUGUUAACUUUUCUCCAGCCUGUCACAGAUUUGCUGACCAGUAAAGAAGUCCUUCUGGAAAGCCAAAACACACUGUUGUGAAACAGGCUGAUUUGGGUUGGAUUUUGAACAAAACUGUGCUCUCCACUUCAUUAGUUUUAUUAAGUGAGAUAAAAGGGUUAUUAUAGUACUGUUAAAUUAAUAUCUCAUCUCUUGAUGGCAAUCAUGCUUAUGGCAAGACUGUUACCACCACUUGUAGUGCUGGAAAGUACUAUGAAAACUCCAAGAAACCAAGAUCUGGCUAUACACCAUCAGGUAAUAUCUCCACGUUAAUGUGUGGAAGGAGAAAUGAGUUCACCUCUUUUGGAGUUAAGAAAGAUUAUGGUCAUAUCAAAAUUUAUGCUAGCUUCAUUUUAGCUGAUACUGAAUAUGAGUAUUUUUUGCAGUGCAAGUUUGAAUGUAAAUGUUAGCAUUUUUUCACACUUUUCAGUUGUGAAACAGAAAUCACUGAAUAUCAUGAGAAAUAAGAAACUCCCCCUAAGGGUACCAUGAAUUUCUUACAUAUUGCCACACCUUGCCAGCAAUAAACAGAUCUCUUAAUUGCACCUAAUCUGGGUUUCCUUAAAUACUGUUCUGCAAGCACCUUACCAAUUUCUGUUUAGCAGCAAUGUUCUACUUCACUCAAACUCCUGAGGUGGAAAUUUCUCUAUAGUCACUCCUUGGGAGGAGCAGCUUCUAGGAAAAGGUGGGAAUAAAACUACUUCCACAGUUAUGUUCAGCACUGUUUGUCAUCAUCUCAUGAUGAGUUUAGAGUCCUGAGCAAAAGCACCGAUAGUGUUUUUGAGUAAACAGACCCUCAGACUAAUGUUUCACCUCUCGCUUCUGGUGUACCAGAAUUAGAUUAUGACUGAUGAGGUGGAGGUAGAAAACUUUGCUGGUAUUCUGGCUUCCUUAAAUUUAGCUUUCCAGUACACUCUCAAAAAGGUUUCCUGAGUUGCUUUCUUAUCACUAUCUUUGUGUGGCAUUUAUUUGCAUAAUUCAUUGUUUACUUUAAAUUUUAUUCCACAGCAAUUGCAUUCUUUUUUCUAACCGUUCCAUUUUGUAAUCAUGUUGUGAAUGAAGCCAGCCUAAGAAAUGUUUCUAUUUAUAGGUGGUGAUGGGCUCCACAGCCCACCUUUUGAUAAGUAAAGAACAAAACUGCUAAACUGACCUCUUUGGGCCAAUCUAAGGGAACAUGUUAUCUUUAGUCCUUCUUUUUUUUUUGAUAAAAACCUUUCCCAAGGGAAAAAUGUCAACAUAUAACUGAAAUUAAGCUUGUUGCGAUCCCUGCUCUGCCAUGUAAUUCAUAAAUUCAUGGAUCUAGAAAAGAGCUUGAAAGGGUGUUAUCCAUCAGAAAUGAUACUUCUGUAUGUGCAGUGCCUAUCAUAAAAACUUGUGUUGGCUCUACAUUGAAUUAGCUUGUCUAUGAGUGUUGAAUCCUUUUGGGAGAAGAUGAAAGAACCAUAAAAUAAGUUUAUGUUGCUCAGUACCCAAAUGUUGUAAGUGGCUAAUACAAUAAGAGCAAAGCAGUAAAUUUGAUCUUUUGCAACAUGUAUAUUUAACAGCUAUAAAAACUACUUCUGAGUUUGUUGAUAUUACACUUUUGUUUUAGGUGCUGCCUGCCAUAUAUCUGAAUUACUUAGACCUCUGAGUAAAGCUAAUCUUUCUUCCUAGAACCAAGCAUAUAACUUCUAAGGUGACAAGAAAUCCCCCACAGAAAUUACACAAAAACAGAAUAAAGCAAAUGCUUGCUAUUCAAAAGAGGUUUGCCAUCGCAGUAUCUGAAAACCUUAUUAUAAAGUGUAUUGAUCUUAGUCCCAGGACAUGAAAUGCCUUACAGAGCAAGACUUAGCACAUUCAUUGUCCUGUGGGAAGAUGCUGGAGAAACUGUAAAGCCAGUGGGUGGCAUUUGCAAUAGCUUCUGUUGUGGAGGAAGGGAUCUGCUGUCUCUGUAGCAAACUGGAGCCACCACAGUGCUACAGAUCUCUAUCCUGGGAUGUGUCAUCCAGGCAAGGCCAAUAGAAGAAGCUUGAGUAACUGAGGUCUGCUGGCUGGCAAAGUGUCUUGGGUCCAGCUGGCAUCAAGAGAGCGCGCUGUGUAUGGAUGUUGCCCUGUGAGAGCUUUAUAGCACUGACGAAUGCAGGAGUAUUCCUGGAGUGUGGACUGAGUUGGUAAACGAGUCUCAUCUGGGUGAAGGGAUCUGCUAAACUCUUAGCUCUUCCCUCUGACACUGCUAUUGGCUUUUUGAUUGUUUAUCCUUAAUCUUAUGUAGAGAUUGCACAAACUGGAAAAAAAGUAGUGUGCUUUGUUUUAAUAGGACAGACAUUUGAAUUCUGAAUGAAGGCUUUGAAAGCAUGAACUUGUGACACUAAACUAACUCUGUAUAACCUUUGUGUACUUGCUGAGUUAUUUGCAAAAUUAGUUUUGGACGAUCUUUUUUCUUCUUUCUGGGCAGUACAUAUACAGCGCUGCAGAAUUUCUGUACUCUUAUCCAGGUGCAAAUGGGACCAAAAUCAGGGAAGGGAACCCAGCUGGCAUUGAUUUAAUCAUGCUGGCACAGCCCUCGUUCCUUCCCCAUCUCAAGUACAUCUGAUGUGAUUUGGCGCCUGGGGUAAACUCUAGGCAGCACUGCGUGUGUGUCAGGAUACUUUACACCUCAUUGCUGGUUAAGGUGUUACUGUCUGCCCUGCUUUCUAGAAACUGCCUCUACGUUUUGGCAUUAUUAUUUGGGUUUGACUUCUGUGGCCCUUGCUUAUUAGUAUCUUAGAGCAGAAGUCAUUUUUCUCUCUCUGUUAUAAACUGUGUUCAAGCAUAGUCUUUAAAUUUGAUAAGUAGAUGUGCCACGGUUUUGAAACUCCCAUUUCCUUCACCAAGCCUAAAAUAAUUUGAGAUAGUUGGUUGUGUGGACAAAGUUUGAUCCUUGAUUCAUACAGGAGCUGGUUUGUGGUGUGUAUUCCAUCUAAAUGGUAUGGUUUUGUUUCACUUGUACUGAUUUUGUCAUGUAAUGAACACAAUGGAUUGGAUGCCUUAGUCCAAAAAUGUGUUUUUAUGGCACAGUUGCCUAGAGCACCAAAUUUUUGCACUUCUGUUGUGUACAAAUCCAAACAGGUAAAACCCACUUGCUCUAUUCAUUGUGUUAUGUGCAGAUUUAAAUAUCUUGUGUGCAGGUAUUAGUCACAUUCCAAGACAAGUUCUUAAAAAGAAAGUCAUUCAUACUCCACAACAUUAGUUUUCAAUUAUUGCCUAACACAUUUAGUACUUUGAUGCCCUUCAACUCUCUAACCGUGUCUCAUUGGAAGUCAAUGACUAUUUGCUUUACUUUAUCCAAAAAGACAAAAGCAGUUUUAUGUGAUUCCUAAAUCUGCACAUCAUAUUAAAAAUAAAGUGCUUUUUCUGCCUGUUUUAUACUGUGUCCAUUUUGUGUCACACAUGGAAUCUCAGUCAAAAUACUUCAAGUUAUUUCCUUUCUUGCAUAAAACCUUCUCCAGCCACGUGAGGAAUUUACUCAUAAAAAAAACCCCACAACACUAAACACCAAGUCAUUCUGUACUAAUAAGUGAUCCAAUAAGCUUUCAAUUCAACAGCAGUACAACUAUUGCCUCCACAAGUAAAGUUGGUACAUUUUGAAGGAGGGGAAGAGUACUGUAGCUUGUUUUCAGAAUAGGCAAUUACCUGUAUCACUUACCUGUACCACUUAGGUUCUGGAGAAGCAAGGCUGUGAAGGCUCUGAAAUCUGAAGAUACUCCUAUUUUGUAGAAGUUGGUUGUACAUAUUGCCACUAUGACGAUUCUUAGGACUUCUGAAAUGUAAGGAACAUGCAAUGUUAUUGGCAGUCCUUCCCAGGUGUCUCAUUAGCUAGCAGUCCUGCUCAUAUCUACUGCCACAUGUUAAGGGUGCAAUGGCCAGAAUCCUUUUUACAGCAACAGAGCUGUAGGGUGUUAUCUUUCUGGCUUUUCUGGUAGUAAUUUCUGCAUUUUCAGUGCAAGGCUGGAAUUUAUAAGUUCAGUAAUUGUUUUACUCAUUGACCAUCCAGAGUUUAUACAUACUGGCAAAUCUGGCCAGUAUGGAAUGACUGAAUCUGGUAAAAUAUGGAAUGACUGAAUCUUCUAUUAAAACUCAAAGUAAAAAGGAGUAUUUGAGGUUUUUCACAUUCAAGUUUCCUCCAUCUCUCAGUUUUUAGUACUUUGUGUUCUUGGCAGCUUUUGGAAGGUUCAGAAAGCACAAACACUAAAAUAUAUGGGGACAUUUCAGUUACAAUUAUCUUCCCAACACUGGCAAUCCCAAAUCAACCUCAAACAGCCUGAAAAGAACUUCUCAACGUGAGAGGAAAUUCCAGAGAAUUCUAUGCAAGCUUAAGUAUACUGGUAAUGGUAUUGCAAUUUGGAGGAUGGCCAAAGCAAUGCAGGAGAGCAGGAUGCACAGAACUGUCAGAGUGGAGUUCUAUAAACAAUGGCUGCUGCAGGUGCCUAAGUGUUGGCAGUGCUUUUUUAGCCCACUGCAGGACCAGCAGUGAGGAGAGUGAACCAGGAAUGACCUAAGAACAAACCAGGAAGCUGGGGCCAAUUAAAGUCAAGAGGUUUCUCACCUUUACCCACUAAGCCAAUCUCAGUGAACUCCCAGCAGUGAAACAGUUAAUGGAGGUACUACAACAGCUAGUUUCAGAUUGACUUGCUUAAGAUAUUUCUGGCACAGAAGGGAGUUACAGAAACUUUUUAACAUAUUCCCACGUGCUGGUGUUUAAACAGAAAUGAAGAAAUAGAGCAGGACUCUUGGGGUGGGGUGGCCAUGUUUUUCCCCUGCACCGAGUCGCACUAAAGCAAGACUUCAGCCUGACAGUAUGAGCAAGAGCAUGGUCCUCAUCCCUUCCUUCAGCUCAGUGCUCUGUGCACAUCCCACUACAGGAAGAAGAUCAUGGUGUUUGCCCUAGUCAAUGCGUGGGUUUACCAGGCUCUGUGCUUCCCCACUACUGGGUCCAAGAGAAAAGUGUCAACUUUUUGCUUGGUCUUCUUGGUCCUUGUGUGCUACACUCUUAAAAGUGCAGAUAAGGUAGCUAUCAGAGCAGGAAUUAUAACAUUCUAAAAUGCGACAAUUUCAUAUUUCACAAUUAAACCGAUGGGGACAUUAAAGAAGGGUUGCUUUUGUAAAGGAAUACAGCAUGGUAAGAGAUAAUCUGCCUUUUAUUAGGUCAGUUGGAAAUAAGGCUUGAAAUACGAAUUUCUGUGUUUAUACAGGAUAAAAUCCUAUCCAGUGUUUCUGAUGUCACAUAGUAAUAUUGGAUGGAGAUAAGAUGAUUUACAUUUAUUGCAUGUCAUGUAAUGUAAUAAUCACCUAAAAAAGCUUUCCUUUCUCCUGAUUUAAAAGGAGAUCACAUUGUGCCAGGAAAAAUAUGAAAAUAACAGAUUUUGUGAACAGUGGGUAUGCGAAUAUAUAUUAGCUUACAAUGCCUACAGUUUGGGAGAGCGCAGAAAAGAAGAUAUUUAUUCUCAACCUGAUUUUUUUGAAUGCUCAGUAAUAAAACUGGUACUUCUAAAGAAUUUAAACUGGAAAAUUAAGGGUUUUAUAAAACAAUGACUAAUUUGUGGAGGUGUGUUUUUUAGCUAGUUUUAUAUACUUAGAUAACGGUAGAAUUUACCCUCAAAGCUGUUAAAACUAUAGUAUUUUUGCACAAUCAAUGAUUUCUAACUGUAUGUAUCAACCUUAGUAUUUAGUGGUCCAUGUAUAUUGCUCACACAUCAAACUGUAUGAAAAAAAAUAGCACAGCAAAACAUCAGAGUGACAGAGGCAAGGUAUAUCUGUGUAUACACUCUAUCAACUUUUUAUGUAAAGUGUUGUUUCCUAAUGCUGGGAUUUUUCAUGCUUUGUUUUCCCAACUAAGAUCAGGGUCGCUGGUGGAACAGCUACAUGAAGAGAAAUGUAAGCAAUGCUUUCAUGACUAAUUCAGAGCCUGUGGGCUGGAACACUCAUUUGGGUAAUGAGAUAAUAUCACCAUCAGAUCUUAAAUAAGAGUUUCCAACAUUAGAGUAUGAACAACCACGCUACUUGCAAUGCAAUUUUUUUGUCCUAUUUGGUGUUGUCCUGGAAGUACUAAAUCAUUUCUCAUCAAGGUGUUUUCAAAAUCUCAUGUGAUCUUUAUGGUAUGACUCAUCUGACAGCAUUUCUAGUGGAAAACCCAGUAAACUCUGGGCUGCAUUCCAGUAAUAUAUCACACAUGAUUGUUUUAUAUAAAUUUGGUAGACUUGAAGUGACUUAGACUGGUAGACUUGAAGUAUAUAUGGGUCCCAUGUUUGCCACCUAAUUCUGUUAUUCAUUUAAAAGCUGUGCUUCAAAAAACGUGG